rnacentral:rRNA from 1 species
AGCUCCAAUAGCGUAUAUUUAAGUUGUUGCAGUUAAAAAGCUCGUAGUUGGAUUUUGGGUCGGGGGCACCGGUCCGCCGUUCCGGUGUGCACUGGUGGCCCCUUCCUUUCUGCCGGGGACGUGCGUCGCACUUAAUUGGGUGGCGUUCGGAGUCGGCGUUGUUACUUUGAAAAAAUUAGAGUGUUCAAAGCAAGCCAUCGCUCUGAAUACAUUAGCAUGGAAUAACAUGAUAGGACUCUGGUCUUAUUUUGUUGGUUUCCGAGACUGGAGUAAUGAUUAAGAGGGACAGUCGGGGGCAUCCGUAUUUCAUUGUCAGAGGUGAAAUUCUUGGAUUUAUGAAAGACGAACUUCUGCGAAAGCAUUUGCCAAGGAUGUUUUCAU